UGGGGAAUCUUCCGCAAUGGACGAAAGUCUGACGGAGCAACGCCGCGUGAGUGAUGACGGCCUUCGGGUUGUAAAGCUCUGUUAAUCGGGACGAAUGGUUCUUUUGCAAAUAGUGCGAGGAUUUUACGGUACCGGACUAGAAAGCCACGGCUAACUACGUGCCAGCAGCCGCGGUAAUACGUAGGUUGCAAGCGUUGUCCGGAAUUAGUGGGCGUAAAGCGCGCGCAGGCGGAUUGGUCAGUCUGUCUUAAAAGUUCGGGGCUUAACCCCGUGAUGGGAUGGAAACUGACAAUCUAGAGUAUAGGAGAGGAAAGGGGAAUUCCUAGUGUAGCGGUGAAAUGCGUAGAUAUUAGGAAGAACACCAGUGGCGAAGGCGACUUUCUGGAAGAAAACUGACGCUGAGGCGCGAAAGCCAGGGGAGCGAACGGG
rnacentral:rRNA from 1 species